AGGAAAAGCAUAUAAAAGACAUGUCGUUUGUUUAAAUCUCACCACCAGCCACAGAAAGAGCCAGACAUCUGUGGGUUUUUAAUCCCACAGUCUCACUUUUUACCUAUGGUCUUAAAGAGAUUUCUGAUAUUACAGCCUUGAGAAAAAGAACACAAAAACAUCACACACAGACAUGUGCAAAUCAGCAAAUACCUGAAAAAGAAAAAUCCACAUAAGUUGUCCUCUUUUUCCAGUUUCCCUGUUUUCAGUUUUUUAUUUUUUAAAAACAUAUCUUAUUUGUCUUCUCUUUCAGAACAAAAGCAAGUUAUAGACAGAUGCAAAGUGGCAAAUGCCCAUUACUCUUUCACCUUAGACGGUCCCUGGCUUGCAUGUAAAAAUCCUGGAACCAAACAGCAGAUAACCACAGGGCUGGGGAAAGAGGCCCCUGCCAUGUAAAAGCAGGGGACAAGAAAAGGCUUGGAGUUUGGAGACGAAUAAGGCAAGGUCCCUGCCUUCAAGGAGCUCAUUAUUUCAGCAGUAUUCAGGGCCUAGAUAAAAUCAGGAGCACAUCAUGAGAAACGCCAGGCUGGAUGAGUUACAAGCUGGAAUCAAGACUGCCAGGAGAAAUAUCAACAACCUCAGAUAUGCAAAUGAUACCACUCUAAAGGCAGAAAGCAAAGAAG